UGGGAAUCUUGCACAAUGGGGGCAACCCUGAUGCAGCGACGCCGCGUGAGCGAUGAAGGUUUUCGAAUCGUAAAGCUCUGUCCUAUGGGAAGAUAAUGACGGUACCAUAAGAAAAAGCCCCGGCUAACUACGUGCCAGCAGCCGCGGUAAUACGUAGGGGGCUAGCGUUGUCCGGAAUCACUGGGCGUAAAGGGUUCGCAGGCGGAAAUGCAAGUCAGGUGUAAAAGGCAGUAGCUUAACUACUGUAAGCAUUUGAAACUGCAUAUCUUGAGAAGAGUAGAGGUAAGUGGAAUUUUUAGUGUAGCGGUGAAAUGCGUAGAUAUUAAAAAGAAUACCGGUGGCGAAGGCGACUUACUGGGCUCAUUCUGACGCUGAGGAACGAAAGCGUGGGUAGCAAACAGG
rnacentral:rRNA from 1 species